UACAGAGGUCUCAAGCGUUGUUCGGAUUCAUUGGGCGUAAAGGGUGCGUAGGCGGCGCGGUAAGUCGGGUGUGAAAUCUCGGGGCUUAACUCCGAAACUGCAUUCGAUACUGCCGUGCUUGAGGACUGGAGAGGAGACUGGAAUUUACGGUGUAGCGGUGAAAUGCGUAGAUGUCGUAAGGAAGACCAGUGGCGAAGGCGGGUCUCUGGACAGUUCCUGACGCUGAAGCACGAAGGCCAGGGGAGCAAACGGG
rnacentral:rRNA from 1 species